rnacentral:rRNA from 1 species
UCUGUAGGCGGUGCGGCAAGUCGGAAGUGAAAUCUCAGGGCUUAACCCCUGAGGCUGCUCCCGAAACUGCUGUGCUCGAGUGCGAGAGAGGUGAGUGGAAUUGCAGGUGUAGCGGUGAAAUGCGUAGAUAUCUGCAGGAACAUCCGAGGCGAAAGCGGCUCACUGGAUCGCAACUGCGCUGAGAGACGAAAGCUAGGGGAGCAAACA